rnacentral:lncRNA from 1 species
ACAUGGCAGUUUUCAACCGGUCCAGUGGUUUUUAAUCGUUGUCAUGUCACAGAUCCCUUGAAAAUCUGAUUAAAGAAAUGGAUCUUCUCCCCAGACACACACACACACACACACACACACACACACACACACACACAAAUGUACAUACAAUUCCAGGUUGCUCACAGACCCCCUCUAGGAGAUGUCACUGUCGCUCAUUCGUAUUUCCGGUUCUACUCCUCUUCCGGGCACACUGGAGAAUUACACUUCCUUGCUGACUUGAGAUAAGUCACAGCUUUGGCCAAUGAAGUGUGAAUGGAAGUUUUCAGAACCUUUAAGAGCCUGUACGCAAUUUGCCAUGCUUUCUCUUUUUGCUUUGUCACCAAAACCUGUGUGUUCCAGAUAGCGACUACUCUGUCUGCGUGGGUCCUGGAGAGAGGAGGAUGCAGAGCACAGCACUUAGCCAACCUGCAAUGGACACGUAGAUCCUCCUUACUGUCUUGUGUUCAAUGCUGAAGACCUGGUGUCCAUGCCUAACAUAACCUGAAGGUGCCUCUUGAAUGGAUCACAUUUGGCUUUCCUUAUGUCCUUGCUCACUAUCAUGGCUACCACGAGAGCCAAGGCAACCCACAGAGAUGGACUUGAAGUGAGAAAUCUACUCUGACCUUUGCCAGAACAUCCAGCUCAGAUUUUGGCCUAGAACAUUAAAAUCCCACCACCCCUAGAAGCUUUUCUUGAGGAUGAACCGUGGAAAUCCUAUGUCAUUCCCUACAGGCUCUACUCAAGUGAUAAGAACCUCAAGAAAGGCUCUGGCCUAGACUUUCCCCUUGUUCCUGUCUUCUGGCUCUUGACUGACACUGGUGCUUUCCCCCUGUGGUGCUGCAUGGUGUGUGGUGACUACCUCAUUGGGCCCUAAACUUCUAAAAUCAUCAGGAGAUAUCACUGAAAAGGUUUCAAAACAAAGCCAUAAUCUCUAGAAAUGUGUCCUUGAUGGGUUGGUCUUCAUUUGCCUGAAGAAUUGAGGCUAAGUGAGCCAAGGAAAAGGUCAUCCAUCAAGAACAAAGCAAGAUUUCUCAACCAUGGCAGGACAUUAGGAUCAUCUGUAGAACUUUAAAAGAUUGUUUAAUUUUUUUCAUUUGGUUUCCUUUAUAGUUGAUUUUGUUUAACUUUGCCAGUGGCAAAAUGUUGCUUCAGUAUUUCUAUCCUGAAUCAACACUAAUUCCCAAUUCAAAUGCUCUCCGCCAUUGAGAAAGACAUACUGAUUUCAAGAUCUACACGACUAAACAGUGUUUCAAGUUUCCCACCACUAUCAACAGACUGUAGAAAAUAGAAAAACACCGACUUAAAAUACUGAAAGAAAAUUAAUGGUUUCUGGGAAAAGCAUGACAUUCAGAAAAAAAUAAGAUGCUUUACAAGCAAAUAUUCUUGCUAAAAAAUAUAAUUUUUCAGAAAAAUUAUACCUUUGCUGCCACAUAUCUGAUGAUAUAGAAUUCAUAUUAAGCAUUAAAAAGACACUUAAAUUUCUUCCAGAAAAGAUGGUGGUAUGGUAACAGAUAUCCAAAAUCCUUCCUAGAAACUAAGCCAAAUCCCAGAGGAAAAAUAAGAAUAGAGAAAAUUCUGCAAAGUUCACAUUGGUUGAAGUCCAGUGGUAAAUAAUGUAUCUACUCUUCCUCUCCUGUUUCACCAUUCUUCUUCCAAGUCUCCCAUAGCCUCAUAUCUUCAUUACCCAAGGCCAGCUUUCCUGAACUCAUCCUCUAGGGACUCUGACUGAAAAAUCCCUACAGCAUGCCAAUAUGCCUCACUGCUACAAGACUGAUCAUUCUAAGGAGGAUUUUGUGCUGCUCUUGUUUUGCUGCUGGGCCUAUCCUGUUUCCAUUCCCAAAUCAAGUAUUCCUGGAAUUUAAGGUAUCACUUUACCAGCCUGACCACAAGUUCCCCAUUGUUUCCUCUGCUCUGCUCAUGCCCUGGAAUAAUGCCUCUCCCUGGAUACUAAAUUUACUGACCCUGCCUAGGACCCAGAGAAGAUUGAUGAGUCCUCAGCCCGUGCAUGUCUUCAAAAAGGUAAGACAGACCAGCAAAGCAGUAAAAUGACAGACCCAUUGUUUGAGCCCAACGCUGGGACUUCCCCUUUUGUAUAAGCUGAGUCACAUUUUUCCUGUUGUCAACUUGAAGCCUGUUCGUUGAUGUAUGAUAGGACUAUCUUGCUGAUAUAUAAAGCCAGGCAGACAGGUUUCCUUGCAUUUGUUUGCCUUACCUUGGACCCUUUCCACCACCAGAUAAGCACAACUGAGCGAAUGACACCAACCAGUGCCAAGAGAAGCAGGACUACCCAACUACACUUUGCCUAAAUUCCUGAUUCACAGAAUUAUAAGCAAAUAAAAUGAUUGUUUAAAGCACUAAGUUUUGGGUUCAUUUGUUAUGUGGCAAUAAAGAAUCAAAACACCUGGA